rnacentral:lncRNA from 1 species
GCCCGCCCCUGAAGCUCUGGAAAAACAACAGAAGGCUGCAUGGAGAGGCCAGGAGAACACGCACAGACUCAGUGACCAGAGGGGCCACCAAUAGGUGACCCCAUCCCCGGGGGUCUGCUGUGCCCCGGCCUCGGUGCUGGCUGGGAAGAAACAGGAUGUCUCCAAACCGUGCCUCCUCCGUGGGAGAGGCCGGCCCCCUGCCCCGGCUCCCCAGGACCUGCCCGAGACCCUCCUGGGAUUACCCAGGACCUGCCCGAGACCCUCCUGGGAUUAAGUUGCAGUGUAUCCUGGUGGGGAUGUGCUGGCCCAGUGACAAAGGGGCCACAGCCUGAAGGAGCCCGGGACCCGAAGCCGUGCCCAGCCAGAUAAGCUGCAUGUGGUGGACGGCGGAGAGCUGACGGGUUGUGGGCCCUUUUCUGAGGACUAGGACCCCAGGAGGCGGUGUCCUCUGCUGCUCUGUUUCACGGCCCAGAGGCUCCUGGAGUGUGGGACACACGUGAGGAGGGGUGAAUGUCAGAACAGCCACCGCAGACAGGGGCUGAAAGUCAUGUGGCACCACAGAUCCCAGCUGUCCUCUGGAACUGAGAGCAGGGGACGGUCACAGCACUGGACUGGCUGACAGGGACGGGGGUGAUGGCCAGGCAGCAGCAUUUGACCAUCAGUGGCUGUGAAGGCAGCUCUCUAAUGAGUUGCAGGGCUGGAGCGGGCCCAGGGUCAGAGCUGCGUGGGGUUGUGGAGGUGGCUGAUAGAACAGCAUGUUCCUGGGAGAGGGACAGGCAGCCCACAAGAGACUGCUCAGCUUGUUGGAGCAAAAUAUAUUAGGGUUGUGUGAUGCGGAGGUCAAGGGUACUCGCUCCAAUAAAAAGUCAGGGCCGGU